CGCUCGGGACGUCGCGACGACCCGGCCUCGGAGCACGUGUUACGUCCCAACCCCAACCCUAGUAUCCAGCCACUUCCACCCCUGGGGCAGGAUCGAUGGAUAAACCGUCCGGAGAAGCAACGUGGCCCCGGAAAGCAAGAUGCCUCCGCGAGACUCCCAGGGGAAACCAUCCUCCUGAGAUUCCCAGAAGCAGGAAGGUCAGAGAGCUCGGCUCCUCGGAUAAACCUCCUAGCUUUUCACC